rnacentral:rRNA from 1 species
CGUGUAGGCGGGCUGGAAAGUUGGGGGUGAAAUCCCGAGGCUCAACCUCGGAACUGCCUCCAAAACUUCCAGCCUGGACUCAAGCAGAGGCAAGUGGAAUUGCGAGUGUAGAGGUGAAAUUCGUAGAUAUUCGCAGGAACACCAGUGGCGAAGGCGACUUGCUGGGCUUGUAGUGACGCUGAGACGCGAAAGCGUGGGGAGCAAACA